GAUGAGCCUGCACUUGAUUAGCUAGUUGGUAAGGUAAAGGCUUACCAAGGCAACGAUCAAUAGCUGUUCUUAGAGGAAGACCAGCCACAUUGGGACUGAGACACGGCCCAGACUCCUACGGGAGGCAGCAGUGGGGAAUCUUGCACAAUGGGGGAAACCCUGAUGCAGCGAUGCCGCGUGAGUGAAGAAGGCCCUUGGGUUGUAAAACUCUUUCGUCGGGGAAG
rnacentral:rRNA from 1 species